AGUGUACGGUUGUGGUGAAAUGGAAAUAUACUAAGUGUGAAUGUUUUUUCUCAUGAAUUUUUCGAACAAGGAGUACACACAAACCAAAAAAUCGUGGAGAAUACACUCUUGACUUCGAAGUAUUCGCAUACAGGAUUUUUCUUGUUUCGAUAGAAAACGUUGUACGAAUUUCUAGUUUUGGUAAUAAUCUGCGUAUUGCUCGUCAUUAUUUACGAGCGUGUUUUCGAUUGCAGACAAUAGUAGUUUUUCUUGUUUUUAUUCCGUAAUGAUUUAAAGUGACAAGAGUUCUUUUGGAAAAAUAAAAAAAAGAAUUGAUCAUAAGACAAUAUAAAAAUCGGAAAAAUCGAGAAAAAGCAACGCUUAUAUAUAUAUCAUACUAACGUGAAAAAUAGCAACAAAAAUUGACUCUGCAGAAAGACAACGAGACUGCGACAAAAAACAGUACAAGAUAAUAAUGAGAAAGGAAACGAGUAUUACAUGAGUGAUUUACUAUGAUGUAAAAAGCUGCAGUAUUUCUGCGAUGUAACACUUGCGGAAGUAUUUAUCUAACCAUACUUUUUGGGUAAAAA